UGUGUCUGGCUGCAGGAAUGUUCAGCAGACCUGUUGGGUGUGAGCUGAAUGUUUAUUUCACAAAAACAAGCCAUCCCUGAUGUUGUUUUGAGGCAGUAACCGGCCUUGCAAUCACCCCCAGGACCUCCACGUGCAGCUGCUUCACCUGAGUCAAUGGUCCUUACUAAGGCUGGUAAUGUCUCUGACCUGUGAGCCUCCAAGUCCUGACAGUCUGCGUUUGCACAGUCAUGCUCGCUGUGUACGGCAUCAUGACAUGUCCUAACAAACUGUUUUAAUACAUUAUGAGCGCUCUCCCAAGCACUCUCAGUUCAGUUGAAAAGUUCACCACGAUAAAGACACCGCUGGGGCAACAAUGUUCUGCAACUUCUGCAGCUUGUCCUUGACAGGGUGGAUACCGUGAAAUGUAUUCAUCUAAUCACGCCCCCACCUAUAAGAUACUUCUCCCUGACACAUGAACAACUGCAGCCAAAAAAAAAAAAAAA